AUGGAGCAGCCUCCUGCAUCCGAACAUCAGGAGCUUCCCCGGGACCCCAACCUGGGCGACUUGGGAAGCCAGGGCGGGCUCCUCCUGGCCGCACCCCCAGCUCCCCUUACGAGUCCAUACGUGUCCGGGCCCCUGGGAGCGUCAGUCCCCCUGAAAUGCCUGCAGGGGUCACGCUCCUACAUCCACCCAGACACACACAGCAAUCCGGAGAGGUGCUACCGCAAGCAGACCUCCCAGGCGGAGCUGGUGUGGCUGAGCUGGCCUGGGCGACUGUUCCUGAAAGCCAGCCCCAGAGCCCCACUCGACAGGUCACAGCAUCUCAGCAUGAGCGUACACACAGAACACGAAGCCACGAGGAGCCACAUCGCCUGGGGCCAGAGCAGGGAGGGGAGGGGGCUCCUGGAAGACCCUGGCUGGGCGUGCGGGGGAGCCGCCUCCACGUCCCUGACCCUCGCCUCCACCACGGCCCCGAAGGUCUUCCCUCUGGCUCCCAGCUGUGGGACCACAUCUGACUCCACGGUUGCCCUGGGCUGCCUGGUCUCCAGCUACUUCCCAGAGCCGGUGACCGUGUCCUGGAACUCGGGCACGCUGACCAGCGGUGUGCGCACCUUCCCGUCCGUCCUGCAGUCCUCGGGGCUCUACUCCCUCAGCAGCAUGGUGACCGUGCCUGCCAGCAGCUUGGAGAGCAAGACCUACAUCUGCAACGUAGCCCACCCGGCCAGCAGCACCAAGGUGGACAAGAAAAUCGAGCCCGUCCUCCCACAGCCUACUACGCCUGCACCGACAGCGCCGGUAACAACCACAGUUCCAGCUGAGACGACUACACCACCCUGUCCCUGCGAGUGUCCCAAAUGCCCAGCUCCUGAGCUCCUAGGAGGGCCUUCCGUGUUCAUCUUCCCCCCAAAACCGAAGGACGUCCUCAUGAUCACCCGAACGCCUGAGGUCACCUGCCUGGUUGUGGACGUGAGCCAUGACAGCCCCAAUGUCCUGUUCACCUGGUAUGUGGACGGCACAGAGGUGAAGACUGCCAAGACAAUGCCGAACGAGGAACAGAACAACAGCACUUACCGCGUGGUCAGCGUCCUCCCCAUCCAGCACCAGGACUGGCUGAACGGAAAGAAGUUCAAGUGUAAGGUCAACAACCAAGCCCUCCCAGCCCCUGUAGAGAGGACCAUCUCCAAGGCCACAGGGCAAACCCGGGUGCCGCAGGUGUAUGUCCUGGCCCCGCACCCAGACGAGCUGUCCAAGAACAAGGUCAGCGUGACCUGCCUGGUCAAGGACUUCUACCCAACCGACAUCACCGUCGAGUGGCAGAGCAAUGAGCAUCCAGAGCCAGAGGGCAAGUACAGAACCACUGAAGCCCAGCAGGACGGCGACGGGUCCUACUUCCUGUACAGCAAGCUCACUGUGGACACGAACAGGUGGCAGCAGGGAACGACAUUCACGUGUGUGGUGAUGCACGAGGCUCUCCACAAUCACGUCAUGCAGAAGAACAUCUCCAAGAACCCGGGUAAAUGAGCCACACGCCCGGCACCCGGCGAGCCGUCCCUCCCUCCUCGUGAGGACACCUGAGCGCCCACCCCUGUGUACAUACCUUCCCGGGCACCCAGCAUGAAAUAAAGCACCCAGCAUGGCCCUGGGAC